AGCUUCGCGCAGGGGCAGUAUCGUAGCCAAUGAGGUUUAUCCGAGGCAUGCGUAUUGCUAAUUGAAACCUUUUCCCAAUACCCCGCAUGACUACUUGGUAGUUGGCACUGGCGAUUUUUGACGGUCUCUACGGAGA
rnacentral:snRNA from 1 species